rnacentral:rRNA from 1 species
UACGGAGGGUGCAAGCGUUAUCCGGAUUUACUGGGUUUAAAGGGUGUGUAGGCGGGCUUUUAAGUCAGUGGUGAAAUCUCCGGGCUCAACCCGGAAACUGCCAUUGAUACUAUUAGUCUUGAAUUUUGUUGAGGUAGGCGGAAUAAGUCAUGUAGCGGUGAAAUGCUUAGAUAUGACUUAGAACACCAAUUGCGAAGGCAGCUUGCUAAACAAACAUUGACGCUGAGGCACGAAAGCGUGGGGAGUCAAACAGGA